AGUUAUCUAGAGAACUUGCUGGGGCUCCACAUAGGGAAACUCUACAAAACAAAAGGACAAUAUUCAGUGACUGAAUCAAUACCUUUAAAUGGACAGUUAAUACAUACAAGAGUCUGCUUUACCGUGUAUUGGUCAUACUUACAAGAUUGACCUAAUUCUGAAACUGUAAUUUUGUGUAAUUGUUCCUCUUAUGAGUCCACCAUGUUGCCUGAAGUUGAACCAUGU